AGAUCAAGUUGAUCGCUUUUAGACUAUCUAACCUUCCUGAACUUCUGUACAGUUUGCACUUAGAUUAACCUAACUGGGGAUCUAAGGGUAAGAUCUGCACCCAGCCAAA